AGAUGCUGCACCGUGAAUCUCACUCUCCCCGGAGUUUGGAGCUCUUUAAAGGGCUCGGUGCCGCUGCCCCAGUGUUGCAAAGCCAGAGGUGGAUUUGGAGAGAAUGCUGGAACCCGGAAGCAGUGGUGGCCAUAACAGCUCCGUAGAAGUGGAGAAAACAUUUGGAAUUGAUGGCAAUAAAAUAGGGAAAAAGGGAAAUGAGCUAGCCCGGAGCUCUGUGGGCGCUGGAGCUGGAACCAACGUCCAAUCAAAGAGUGGCGUGGAAGCGCUGUAACUCUAUUGGAUUUAAGGGUGAUCAAUCAUCACUGCACGCAGAAGUCGCCUGGUUGAUUGGGUUAAAUUGAUGAAAGGGGCGGAUCCAUAUUUCAGUAUUAACUGAAUCCCACCAGCUUCACUUCGGUCCAAAAAAAAACCCUCUUCGGUUCUUUAGAGCAACCCCUCUUCAGCAUAUCUAUUAGAAUAACUUUCUUCUGCAAAGGAUAGUUUUCUUUGUCCUUUGUUGUGCUACACCUGAUUGUUUAAACUGGUUAAAUCCUCACUUUAAGUUGCUUUUAAAACGUGUUUGUAGGGAAAAAAAGACAUGUCCAAGAAAGACCCCAGUCAAAUAGCAGGGGGAGGGGGACACAUGAAAUAAAACAAUAUUGACUCAUAAGCUCGAAGGUCCAUUUUUAAAACUGGCGGAGAUAUUGCUAAUGUCAAAAAUUGCAACAAGUUGUGAACAAUAACUGCAUGAGACAAUGAACUAGAUAUGCGAUGGCCCUUCCACUUCCAAACAAUAAACCAGAAACACGUAUUUGUUUAAAAACAAUCAAAAACAUUCCAGCGAUAACAUGCAAUCUACAUAAUUCUGACGGACUCCUGCAUACGACCGGAAAAUGAUUACAGAUCCCAAUCCGACUCUCGCAAGUAUUAAAAGAAAUCGAGUGUCUCAGGUAGGAAGUUAUUUUUUCUUAUAGUUCUUAAAAAGAAUAAAACCAUUUAUUCGAAAUCAAAAGACCCGUGCAUCAUAGAAGAAACACGCGUCUUUAAAAAUCUAAUUCAAAUAUUCACCAGAACCUAUCCCUUAAAUGCACCCCCUUUACCCGAGAUAGGAAGCGACUUGCUUUUAGAGUGAAAUGUUAGGUAAUAUGAAAUUGUUUACUUGAAUUUUAUUUGCAGAUCAUUUUAAAAGUUAGUAUGCAGUAUUUUACGGAGAGAAGACGAGGCGACGGGUAAGGGCAGGGGCUGGGGAACAUAGCGUGCCUGGGCUCUCCGACAGUCGCAGUACAUUGACCAUAAAACCACUGCUCGCUGUAACAAUCAACCUUCAUUAAAAAGGAUGAAGCAAUAAAGUCUUACAACUAGCAACACGUUGACCAAGUUCCACUAAAUCCUACACAAGCAAAUAGCAGUCCGCAAAACUUUGGGGCAGUUCAAUCGUAACGCCACUGCUUAUUGCAUGAAAUCACAGUGUAAAAUGGGAGAGGGAGCGACAAUUAAACCAGAAUGAAAAUGUUGGAUAUCACUUCUUUGUGUACGCAACAAUAUCGCACCCCGAUAACGCAGCUGGCCACUUGAACGUGUGCCGAAUACGAUGGGGUUGCUUUUUCCGCGCCGAGCAGUACAGCGCGUACCCGCCGAGGGGGCAGAAGCUCACUGGCGUUAUCCCGCUCACAUACCCCCAACCUGCCAAUGUGAUAAUAUUUGUUGGCAAUCGAAAAGACGUUUUAUUUUACGCCUCGCGUUAACUGGGAUAAGUUUGUCGGCUCGAUCGCAUUCCUGAUGAUGGAGUGAAGUGUACACAACGUAAUACUUUGUACUUUUAUUUCGCUUAAGCUUAAGUAUUUAAGAACAGCCAAGACAGAAGUCAGUUCUAUGGAAGGGCAUGUAAACAAAAUUGGUUAAAAUUGCCAUCAACAAAAUUGACGGGCUGCCAUAUAAAGUGUCCGAUCUCGGGUCUAGCAACAGUGGAGAUGGAUCCUUAUCGUUUCCCUCAUCCUCUCUGAAGCUGAAUCUCUUGCGCCGUCUGCAGGGCAUCGGCACACCACCACCAACCCCGAACAGUUUCAACCCCGUCGGCAGGUUCCAAAAAAAAAGUGAGAGCCGGCCGUGAGAUUCAACAUCACGCCCGUUCUAUGUACUUGUAAAUUUAAUACCGCUGACUGCGUUUACACCCCACAUGCUUUUACUUACAGAAUCUCUUCUGAGUAAGGAACUUUACAAUGAUAUUUUUAAACUGUACGACCUGUUCCUAUUUCUGACCGAUUUCGAUAAUGAAAGCAUUAAAAAAAACGUUAACGAGGGCGGCCUGGCGGAGUUGCAGAUUUGUAACUUGUCACGUUUUAAACUUUUAGCACCGUCUCGCGAUUACUCUUCACUACCCUGUCGCUGCACUGAGCUCUUCGCCGUGAAAUGACUGAAGGUGCGAUAUACGUUUAAAAACAAAUAUCACGAAAUCACCAAACUAUUGAAACAAAGACACGGGGAGAUCUUUAGCAACAGUUCGAAUCCCCACUGUAGUUAUCAAGAAUUCAAAGCGACAGUAUCCAUCGAAUCACUAGCUGUUUAGUUUACAUUUAAUUUCAUUGGCGCUUAUUAUUUUUGUUAAAACAAACUCUUUUCAUCAAUCGAUAUUAAUGCGAUUUGGCAUUGAAUUUACAAUAUAAGUUCAGUUCUUGCAUUUGUAAUUUUUAUGUAUCAAUUCGUUUAAUCCAUAUCUAUACAAAACAUUGAUUAUCGAUUAAUUGUGGUCACUUGUUUUAGUUCCGGCGCUGUAAGUAUUGGUGCAAACAUAACCAACAAUGAUCUGCAGAACUUUCUUUGCCUUCCUGUCUUGUACAGGUGCUGGAAAUUCAUUGUAAAUGGCGCAUUAAUUGAAUAUCUUUCACAUUAAUUAAUUGACGAGUUUCUGAAGUAUUAUAGACCAAAGGAUAAUUACGGGCAGCAAUUUUCAUGAUUUAUAUCACUUUCCAACUAUCAGUUUGCAUUGCUCAAAUGAGUUCGUAAGCUCAAAUUUGCAAAAUGCGUCAAUAUACAUUUUUAAUGUCUGUACCUGAAUGGUUUAAAAUAAUAAUCACUAAUAAAGUUUUAAAUGUACAGAUAUUGCCUCCCUGGUUCUUGUCCUGUUCCCGCACGUAUAUAUAUACAAAACAUAAUUAAUUUUAAAACAUGUGUAACACAUAAUAUUUUAGAUAUUCAAAUGAAUCAGAUUUCUGUUCUUAAAGGACUUUUACAUGGGGUCAAUACAUUCAUUUAAAAAUUAAUCUUUACUAUAUAGUGUUGGGAGACCAUCUGCAGACUUCCUGCCAUCCCGCAGUUGCUUCUAAACAGAACAGUGCAGGCCCAGACAACCCCCUGACUGCAUUUAGUCAUGGAUUUUUGACGUUCCGUCGAGAUAUUGCAGUCGAAUGCUGGUUAAGUAUUCAAAAGCUGUUCGGGUUGUACAGUCCGGCA